rnacentral:rRNA from 1 species
CCUACGGGAGGCUGCAGUGGGGAAUAUUGGGCAAUGGGCGCAAGCCUGACCCAGCAACGCCGCGUGAAGGAAGAAGGCUUUCGGGUUGUAAACUUCUUUUCUCAGGGACGAAGAAAGUGACGGUACCUGAGGAAUAAGCCACGGCUAACUACGUGCCUGCAGCAGCGGUAAGACGUAGGGGGCAAGCGUUAUCCGGAUUUACUGGGUGUAAAGGGCGUGUAGGCGGGACUGCAAGUCAGAUGGGAAAACCACGGGCUCAACCUGUGGCCUGCAUUUGAAACUGUAGUUCUUGAGUACUGGAGAGGCAGACGGAAUGCCUAGUGUAGCGGUGAAAUGCGUAGAUAUUAGGAGGAACACCGGUGGCGAAGGCGGUCUGCUGGACAGCAACUGACGCUGAGGCGCGAAAGCGUGGGGAGCGAACAGGAUUAGAUACCCUUGUAGUC